rnacentral:rRNA from 1 species
AGAACGAACGCUGGCGGCAUGCCUAAUACAUGCAAGUCGAACGAACUCUUCGGAGUUAGUGGCGCACGGGUGCGUAACGCGUGGGAAUCUGCCCCUUGGUUCGGAAUAACAGUUGGAAACGACUGCUAAUACCGGAUGAUGACGAAAGUCCAAAGAUUUAUCGCCAAGGGAUGAGCCCGCGUAGGAUUAGCUAGUUGGUGAGGUAAAGGCUCACCAAGGCAACGAUCCUUAGCUGGUCUGAGAGGAUGAUCAGCCACACUGGGACUGAGACACGGCCCAGACUCCUACGGGAGGCAGCAGGUAGGGAAUAGUUGGACAAGU